AUACGGAGGGUGCAAGCGUUAAUCGGAAUUACUGGGCGUAAAGGGCGCGUAGGCGGUCUAUCAAGUCAGGUGUGAAAUCCCACGGCUCAACCGUGGAGGUGCAUCUGAAACUGAUAGACUCGAGUAUGGGAGAGGAAAGUGGAAUUCCCGGUGUAGAGGUGAAAUUCGUAGAUAUCGGGAGGAACACCAGUGGCGAAGGCGACUUUCUGGACCAAUACUGACGCUGAGGCGCGAAAGCGUGGGGAGCAAACAGGAUUAGAAACCCUUGUAGUCC
rnacentral:rRNA from 1 species